UACGUGAGGGUGCAAGCGUUAAUCGGAAUUACUGGGCGUAAAGCGUGCGCAGGCGGUUUUGUAAGUCUGAUGUGAAAUCCCCGGGCUCAACCUGGGAAUUGCAUUGGAGACUGCAAGGCUAGAAUCUGGCAGAGGGGGGUAGAAUUCCACGUGUAGCAGUGAAAUGCGUAGAGAUGUGGAGGAACACCGAUGGCGAAGGCAGCCCCCUGGGUCAAGAUUGACGCUCAUGCA
rnacentral:rRNA from 1 species